AUACUUACCUGGCACAAUCACAAAGGUAGUUUUCCCAGGGCAAGGCUUAUCCAUUGCACUCCAAAUAUGCUGACCCCUACAAUUUCCUCAAAUGUGGGAAACUCAACUGCUUAAUGUGCAGCAGUAAGAGACUGUGUUCAUGCUUUCCCCUA
ensembl:snRNA U1 U1 spliceosomal RNA